ensembl:snRNA U7 U7 small nuclear RNA
AAGUGUUACAGUUCUUUUAGAAUUUGUUUAACAGGUUUUCUGGUUUUUACUGGAAAGCCCCC